rnacentral:misc_RNA from 1 species
CGAACACACCCGUAAGCUCUGUUUGCUUCCUCGUGAAAAAAGAAUAAAAAAAAAGUGCAAUUCUUGAAUGUAGAAAAGUCCACGGUCUGCCCGAUAAAAAGGUUAUGGAUUUGGACAUGGAAAGAAAGAUUCAAUCUUUGUAACCGAGAGAUGGAGAGUAACACAAACAACAAUAAGAGAAGCGAAAUCGGGAAGCCGAUGGUUGGAUUGAUAUGCGGUACGUUGGUGUACUAUCACUGUGCGUAUCGGAAUGCCAGCCUUCUCUCUUUGGUUUCCGAUGUUCUCAUCGUCCUCCUCUGCUCCCUCGCCAUUCUCGGUCUGCUCUUCCGACAGAUGAACAUCUCGGUUCCGGUUGAUCCACUUGAGUGGCAGAUCUCUCAGGACACUGCUAACAGCAUCGUCGCAUGGUUUGCUAAUACAAUAGGGGCGGCUGAGUCUGUCUUGAGGGUUGCUGCAACUGGGCAUGACAAGAGGCUAUUCUUCAAGGUUGCCAUUUGUCUGUAUAUUCUAUCAGCUUUGGGACGAUUGGUCUCAGGUUUUACUGUUGCUUAUGCUGCAUUAUGCCUGUUCUGUCUCUAUAUUCUUACUGAGAAAUCACAAUCAAGCAGCAGUUUUUUCUCUCGGAUUCGAAGGGGUAGUAAUGGUACUUCAUUAGAGUUAGAUAGCAUGUAGAUUGCAAGACAUCUCUUGUGUUAUUCAAUUGAGAGUUAAGAAUGCUGUAAAUAUGAGAUUGUAUUCAAGUCGCCCUGCUUUAGUUCAGGGAAACAUUAUCCUUUGACAACCUUUUAUGGUUGGUUUUAGAAAUUAAAUUGGAAUUUAAUUUCCGGGAUAAAAUUAUAGUUUUUUGUUGGUAUGAGAGGAUGUCACAUUUGUAUAUUGAAAUAACUUGAAUGUGUACAAAAAUAUGGUAAAAAUUGUUUGGUACGCAUCAAGAUGAAUGGAGGACCAAAAUUUCUUGCGCA